GAGUUUGAUCAUGGCUCAGAUUGAACGCUGGCGGCAGGCCUAACACAUGCAAGUCGAACGGUAACAGAAAGCAGCUUGCUGCUUUGCUGACGAGUGGCGGACGGGUGAGUAAUGUCUGGGAAACUGCCUGAUGGAGGGGGAUAACUACUGGAAACGGUAGCUAAUACCGCAUAACGUCGCAAGACCAAAGAGGGGGACCUUCGGGCCUCUUGCCAUCGGAUGUGCCCAGAUGGGAUUAGCUUGUUGGUGGGGUAACGGCUCACCAAGGCGACGAUCCCUAGCUGGUCUGAGAGGAUGACCAGCCACACUGGAACUGAGACACGGUCCAGACUCCUACGGGAGGCAGCAGUGGGGAAUAUUGCACAAUGGGCGCAAGCCUGAUGCAGCCAUGCCGCGUGUAUGAAGAAGGCCUUCGGGUUGUAAAGUACUUUCAGCGGGGAGGAAGGGAGUAAAGUUAAUACCUUUGCUCAUUGACGUUACCCGCAGAAGAAGCACCGGCUAACUCCGUGCCAGCAGCCGCGGUAAUACGGAGGGUGCGAGCGUUAAUCGGAAUUACUGGGCGUAAAGCGCACGCAGGCGGUUUGUUAAGUCAGAUGUGAAAUCCCCGGGCUCAACCUGGGAACUGCAUCUGAUACUGGCAAGCUUGAGUCUCGUAGAGGGGGGUAGAAUUCCAGGUGUAGCGGUGAAAUGCGUAGAGAUCUGGAGGAAUACCGGUGGCGAAGGCGGCCCCCUGGACGAAGACUGACGCUCAGGUGCGAAAGCGUGGGGAGCAAACAGGAUUAGAUACCCUGGUAGUCCACGCCGUAAACGAUGUCGACUUGGAGGUUGUGCCCUUGAGGCGUGGCUUCCGGAGCUAACGCGUUAAGUCGACCGCCUGGGGAGUACGGCCGCAAGGUUAAAACUCAAAUGAAUUGACGGGGGCCCGCACAAGCGGUGGAGCAUGUGGUUUAAUUCGAUGCAACGCGAAGAACCUUACCUGGUCUUGACAUCCACAGAACUUUCCAGAGAUGGAUUGGUGCCUUCGGGAACUGUGAGACAGGUGCUGCAUGGCUGUCGUCAGCUCGUGUUGUGAAAUGUUGGGUUAAGUCCCGCAACGAGCGCAACCCUUAUCCUUUGUUGCCAGCGGUCCGGCCGGGAACUCAAAGGAGACUGCCAGUGAUAAACUGGAGGAAGGUGGGGAUGACGUCAAGUCAUCAUGGCCCUUACGACCAGGGCUACACACGUGCUACAAUGGCGCAUACAAAGAGAAGCGACCUCGCGAGAGCAAGCGGACCUCAUAAAGUGCGUCGUAGUCCGGAUUGGAGUCUGCAACUCGACUCCAUGAAGUCGGAAUCGCUAGUAAUCGUGGAUCAGAAUGCCACGGUGAAUACGUUCCCGGGCCUUGUACACACCGCCCGUCACACCAUGGGAGUGGGUUGCAAAAGAAGUAGGUAGCUUAACCUUCGGGAGGGCGCUUACCACUUUGUGAUUCAUGACUGGGGUGAAGUCGUAACAAGGUAACCGUAGGGGAACCUGCGGUUGGAUCACC
rnacentral:rRNA from 1 species